rnacentral:rRNA from 1 species
CCUACGGGCGGCUGCAGUGGGGAAUAUUGCACAAUGGGCGCAAGCCUGAUGCAACCAUGCCGCGUGUGUGAAGAAGGCCUUCGGGUUGUAUAGCACUUUCAGCGGGGAGGAAGGCGGUGAGGUUAAUAACCUCAUCGAUUGACGUUACCCGCAGAAGAAGCACCGGCUAACUCCGUGCCAGCAGCCGCGGUAAUACGGAGGGUGCAAGCGUUAAUCGGAAUUACUGGGCGUAAAGCGCACGCAGGCGGUCUGUCAAGUCGGAUGUGAAAUCCCCGGGCUCAACCUGGGAACUGCAUUCGAAACUGGCAGGCUAGAGUCUUGUAGAGGGGGGUAGAAUUCCAGGUGUAGCGGUGAAAGGCGUAGAGAUCUGGAGGAAUACCGGUGGCGAAGGCGGCCCCCUGGACAAAGACUGACGCUCAGGUGCGAAAGCGUGGGGAGCAAACAGGAUUAGAUACCCGGGUAGUC